rnacentral:rRNA from 1 species
AAUGAACGUUGGCGGCGUGGAUUAGGCAUGCAAGUCGUGCGGCAGCAGGCCCCGCAAGGGGUGCUGGCGAGCGGCGAAAGGGUCAGUAACACGUGGAUAACCUACCCUCGGGCUCGGGAUAGCGGCGGGAAACUGCCGGUAAUACCGAAUAAUGUCCCUGGACCAAAGGUGUGAUUCCGUCCGAGGAUGGGUCCGCGUCCUAUUAGCUAGUUGGUGAGGUAACGGCCCACCAAGGCAAAGAUGGGUAGGGGGUGUGAGAGCAUGACCCCCGACACUGGGACUGAGACACUGCCCAGACACCUACGGGUGGCUGCAGUCGAGAAUCUUCGGCAAUGGGCGCAAGCCUGACCGAGCGACGCCGCGUGCGGGACGAAGGCCUUCGGGUUGUAAACCGCUGUCAGAGGGGCGGAAAUACAUUGGGGUUAUCCCCAGUGUUUGACUUAACCUCAGAGGAAGCAUGGGCUAAGUUCGUGCCAGCAGCCGCGGUAAGACGAACCAUGCAAACGUUAUUCGG